AUUGAACGCUGGCGGAAUGCUUUACACAUGCAAGUCGAACGGUAGAGGGGCAACCCUUGAGAGUGGUGAACGGGUGAGUAAUGUAUCGGAACAUGCCCAGUCGUGGGGGAUAACGUAGCGAAAGUUACGCUAAUACCGCAUACGAUCUAUGGAUGAAAGCGGGGGAUCGCAAGACCUCGCGCGAUUGGAGUGGCCGAUAUCAGAUUAGGUAGUUGGUGGGGUAAAGGCCUACCAAGCCGACGAUCUGUAGCUGGUCUGAGAGGACGACCAGCCACACUGGGACUGAGACACGGCCCAGACUCCUACGGGAGGCAGCAGUGGGGAAUUUUGGACAAUGGGCGCAAGCCUGAUCCAGCCAUUCCGCGUGCAGGAAGAAGGCCUUCGGGUUGUAAACUGCUUUUGUACGGAACGAAACGCGCUGAGCUAAUACCUCGGCGUAAUGACGGUACCGUAAGAAUAAGCACCGGCUAACUACGUGCCAGCCGCCGCGGUAAGAC
rnacentral:rRNA from 1 species